AUGAAUGUGAAUGAUAAGAAAAUAGCUGGAGUCUGCAGAAGCUCCAUCCCUAUAUAACUCUCAGCACGGCUUGACCAAUUACUAUGCGACCUUUUUUAUUUAUCUCCCUUUUGUGUUUUCCCCUCUCUUGUCUUUCUUUCUGGACUUCCCCCAAACACUUUACUUGCAACGCUCACUCCUAAUCAACACUUGUUUCCUUCCAUUUGGUUUGGAUUCAAUUUCUCUCUUUAUUUUGUUUUCCAUGGCCCCAGUUCGUCUUACAUGUUAGUUUUCUCUUUUCUCCAUACGCACUUGUUUUGUUUCAUAUUUCCCUUGCCUCUAUGGAUCCAAACUUUAUCAUUAGCGGCUACGACUUUGAUGAAUCAAACCACUGGGAUCUUAACGGACACUACGCCAACCUUCUCAAUGAUGCUUUUUCCGAUGUGGGCCCACUUGGUCUUUCUCAGAAUGCAAUUUUGAACUCGGAGCCCUUUGUUUCAUCCUCUGCUUCCGCCGCCACCGACCCCGCCGCUACCACGGCGACUUUGGCUGAUCCUUCACCCGAAGAAGACACUGAUUUCUCAGAAACCUUCAAGUUCAUAAGUCAAAUUCUCUUGGAAGAGAACUUUGAGCAGAAACCGUGUAUGUGUUAUGACCCUCUGACCUUGCAACACACUGAGAAAUCAUUCUAUGAGGCUCUGGAAUUGGAACCAUCACUUCCUCUUUCCCCUAAUCAGCACCCGCUUGAGAGCCCUGAUGGGAAUUCUUCUAAUUCCAUUUCUGAUUCCGCCAAUUCUCAUGAUUUGAAGCCUUCUUCACCCAAUACACCUGUUUCUGAUGCUUUGCAUUCUUCUUCCCACGCGCCCUCUUUUGUUGUUCCACCCCAUGCUCUGAAUAAAAUUAAUGAUGGAACCGUGGAUUUGGAUUCUUCCGUAACCAAGCUCUUGGCUGAAAAUAUUUUCAGUGAUACUGACUCUAUGUUGCAGUUUAAAAGAGGGUUGGAGGAGGCUAGUAAGUUUCUUCCUCGGAGGCCUCAGCUUUUCACUGGGUUGGAGAGCACCGCAGUGUCUGCAGAGCCAAAGGGAAAAGGUGUAGCUCUGAAGAUGGAGAAUUCAAUUGGGGUGAGGAGUAGAAAGAAUCAUGCGCGCCAAGAUGAAGAAGAAGAAGAAGAAAGAAGCAACAAGCAGUCUGCUGUGUCUGCGGUUUGUGUUGAGGAGGAGAGUGAAAUAUCUGAAAUAUUUGACAGGGUGUUGCUUAGUGUUGAAAAUGUGCCACUGUGUGCUGAAAAGAAUGGAUCAGUGGCACAAGCUGAGAAAUCGAAUUUGUCUGAUGGAGGGAAGGUUCGAUCCAAGAGGCAAGGGAGGAAGAAGGAGACGGUGGAUUUGAGGACCCUUUUGAUUUUGUGUGCACAAGCUGUGUCUUCCAGUGACAACAGGACUGCUAAUGAACUGUUGAAGCAGAUUAGGCAGCAUUCUUCUGCUUUGGGUGAUGCCUCGCAGAGGUUGGCUCAUUAUGUGGCCAAUGCUCUCGAGGCUCGCUUAGUUGGUGAUGGAACUGCCACCCAAAUAUUUUAUAUGAGCUACAAGAAGUUCACUACUACUGAUUUCCUGAGAGCUUACCAAGUUUUCAUAUCUGCUUGCCCUUUCAAGAAAUUUGCACAUUUCUUUGCAAAUAAGAUGAUUAUGAAAACAGCUGAUGGGGCAGAAACGCUUCAUAUUAUUGACUUUGGUAUCCUCUAUGGUUUCCAGUGGCCAAUUCUCAUAAAGUUUUUAUCACGCAGACCUGGAGGCCCCCCCAAGCUGCGCAUCACAGGAAUAGAGUAUCCCCAACCUGGCUUUCGUCCGACUGAAAGAAUUGAGGAGACUGGUCGUCGUCUAGCUAAGUAUUGCAAGCGUUUCAAUGUUCCCUUUGAGUACAAGGCCAUAGCAUCGCGAAACUGGGAAACCAUUCAAAUUGAAGACCUCAAAAUUGAGCGCAAUGAGCUGCUUGCUGUGAACUGUCUGGUAAGGUUUAAGAAUUUGCUUGACGAGUCAAUUGAAGUGAACAGUCCCAGAAAUGCUGUUCUGAAUUUAAUCAGGAAGAUGAAACCAGAUAUUUUUGUUCACAGCGUAGUAAAUGGAUCUUAUAAUGCUCCUUUCUUUCUCACACGCUUCAGGGAGGCACUGUUCCAUUAUUCUUCAAUUUACGAUAUGUUUGAUACUCUCAUAUCCCGUGAAAAUGAAUGGAGGUUGAUGCUUGAGAGAGAAUUUUUGGGCCGGGAGAUAAUGAAUGUGGUAGCAUGUGAAGCUCUUGAGAGGGUUGAGAGGCCUGAGACAUACAAACAAUGGCAGGCUAGGAAUACUAGAGCUGGUUUUAAGCAGCUCCCACUGGAUAAGGAGAUAAUGACCAAAUUUAGGGGCAAAUUAAGGGAAUGGUACCACAGGGAUUUUGUCUUUGAUGAAGAUGGAAACUGGAUGCUUCAAGGUUGGAAGGGUCGCAUUUUGUAUGCUUCAACUUGUUGGGUGCCAAUAUGCUUUGACCGCAUAUCACCGAACCGUGUCGUGCAACAUUUCGGUGGUACUAUCUCUGUGUUUUCAAAUCAGAACCAAGUAGCGAAGGGGUUUGAGUUUGUUGAUUCAUCUUCCCCUUCUUCCGGCACAAGCUCAAGUGGAGAAUCCAUGGAGUUUACUAAGUAUUCAAAUCCCAUCCUCAGAUACAUAAGCGACAUCCUCAUGGAUGAGGAAGAUGACUUGGAGCGCAGACCCUGCAUGUUGCAGGAUUGUUUGAGACUCCAGGCUGCUGAAAAAUCCUUCCAUGAUGUCCUUCUCCAUCAAAAGCCUUCUCCUUUCCGUGAUGAAAGCGUUGGCAUCAUACAUUCUGAUGAAAUUUUUGGUCGCACUCCAAGUUUUUAGAGCAAUGGCAGCUGCACCACUGAUAAUUCAUGUGAGUCUAACUUGGUCAACGGUGUGAGUGAAUUUAAUUCUUCUUUCCUACAACUAGAAACCCCUCUAGUUGAUUCCCCAGAUGCAGUUCCUGAUCCUCCAUUUGGGGAGUCACGUCCUAUUGGUUAUUUUCUUGAUGGAACCUGGAAUCUCUUUCAGUCUCAUACAAAGAUGGUAGAAAAGGGUUCUUCAGCUUCAGCACUAAGAGAAAAGAGAAACCAUCAGAUGGAUGAUUAUGAGUCUCAUGAACAGGAAGCAAGAAAAGGCAGCAAGGUUUCAGCUGUCUUUUAUGACGAGUCAGAGCCACCAGAGAUCUUAGAUGAGGUGCUGCUUUAUCAAACCGGAAGAAGUCAACCACUCUAUAGUUCUCCUACUGAGCCAUCACAAACUCAAAGGGUUGAUUUAGGAAGGUCCAGUGGAAAGGAAGCACGUGCACGUUCAAAGGAAGUGUCCUCCAAUACUGAGACAGCUAUAGAUUUAUGGACCCUUCUGACUCAAUGUGCACAAGCAGUGGCAAACUAUGACCAAAGAAAUGCAAAUGAAUUACUCAGCCAGAUUAGGCAACACUCUUCACCUUAUGGGAAUGGACUUCAGCGUUUGGCUCAUUAUUUUUCCAAUGGACUUCAGAUAAGAUUGGCUGCUGGGACCCCAUCAUAUAUGCCUCUAGAAGUGGCAACUGCUGCUGAUAUGUUGAAAGCUUACAAACUAUUUGUUACAUCCUCUCCUUUGCAGAGGUUGACAAACUAUUUGACAACCAAGUCAAUCAUUAGUCUUGUGAAAAAUGAGAGCAGCGUCCAUAUUAUUGACUUUGGUAUUUGCUAUGGUUUUCAGUGGCCGUGCCUUAUCAAGAAGCUCUCAGAUAGGCUUGGUGAUCGUCCAAGGCUUCGUAUAACAGGAAUUGAUCUUCCUCAGCCGGGUUUUCGGCCUAAAGAAAGGGUCGAGGAGACCGGGCGGCGUUUGGUAAACUUCUGCAAGAAGUUCAAUGUCUCUUUUGAAUACAAUUGCCUUGCACAAAAAGGGAAACAAUAAGACUUGCAGAUCUCAAGAUAGAAAGGAAUGAAGUAACUGUUUAGCUGCUUCUACCGGCUGAAGAACUUGCCUGAUGAGACUGUGGAUGUGAAGUGUCCAAGAGAUGCUGUGUUGAGGUUGAUAAGGAGGAUCAAUCCAAACAUGUUCAUCCAUGGGGUGGUCAAUGGUACCUAUAGUGCACCCUUUUUCCUUACUAGGUUCAGGGAAGCACUUCACCACUUCUCAUCACUGUUUGAUGUGUAUGAGGCUAAUGUGCCUCGUGAAGACACGCAAAGAGUGAUGCUGGAGAAAAGGUUGUUUGGAAGGGAUGCCAUCAAUGUUAUAGCGUGUGAAGGGGCUGAGAGGGUUGAGAGACCGGAGACCUAUAAGCAGUGGCAGGUUAGGAAUCAGAGAGCUGGUUUCGAGCAAGUCCCUUUGGAUCCUCAGUUAGUGGUUGAUGCUACGGAUAUUGUGAAGAGGGAAUAUCACGAAGAUUUUGUAGUGGCUGAGAAUGACAAGUGGGUUUUUCUGGGGCGGAAAGGGCGUAUUCUGAAUGCCAUUUCUGCAUGGACUCCUGAUUAAUUCAACAUGAACUCUCUUGUGCAAAACUUUGGUGGUCCUAUCUCAGUAUUUUCAAAUCAGGACCAAGUAGAGAAGGGGUUUGACUUUGAGUUUGAUGAUUCAUCUUCCCCUUCUUCCGGCACAAGCUCAGGUGGAGAAUCCACAGAGGUAACCAAAUAUUCCAACCCAAUCCUCAGAUACAUAAGCGACAUACUCAUGGACGAGGAAGACGACUUGGAGCGCAAACCCUGCAUGUUGCAGGAAUGUUUGAGACUCCAGGCUGCUGAAAAAUCCUUCCAUGAUGCCCUUCUCCAUCAAAACCCUUCUUCUUGUUUCUCUGAUGAAAAUUAUGGUCGCACUGUUAGCUUUGAGAGCUGCACCACUGAUAAUUCAUGUGAGUCUGAAUUGGUCAACGGUGUUGGUGAAUUUGAUUCUUCUUUCUUACAACUACAAACCCCUCUGGUUCAUGAUCCAUUUGGGGAGUCACAAGCUGCUGGCUAUUUUCAUGACGGAACCUGGAAUCUCUUCCAGUCUCAGUCUCAGACCAAGCCACUGAUGGUGGAAGAGGGUUCUUCAGCUUCAGCACCAAGAGAAAAGAGAAGCCAUGGGAUGGAUGAUUAUGCUUCUCAUGAACAGGAAGGGAGAAGAGGCAGCAAGGUUUCAGCCGUCUUUUCGGACGAGUCAGAGUCACCAGAGAUCUUAGAUGAGGUGCUGCUUUGUCAAUCUGGAAGAAGCCAAGCCCUCCUUUGUGCUGCUACUGAACCAUCACAAAGUGUUGAUUUAGGAGGGUCCAAUGGAAAGGCGACACGAUCACGUUCAAAGAAAGUGUCUGCCAAAGCCGGUACAGCUGUAGAUUUAUGGACCCUUCUAACUCAAUGUGCACAGGCCGUGGCAAGCUUUGACCAAAGGAACGCAAAUGACUUACUCAGCCAGAUUAGGCAACACUCUUCAGCUUUUGGGGAUGGACUUCAGCGUUUGGCUCAUUACUUUGCCAAUGGCCUUCAGAUAAGGUUGGCUGCUGGGACUCCAUCAUACACGCCCCUAGAAGGAACAACUUCCGCCGAUAUGUUGAAAGCUUACAAACUUUAUGUUACAUCCUCUCCUUUGCAGAGGUUGACAAAUUAUUUGGCAACCAAGACAAUUGUUAGUCUUGUGGGAAAUGAGGGCAGUGUUCAUAUUAUUGAUUUUGGCAUUUGCUAUGGUUUUCAGUGGCCUUGCCUUAUCAAGAAGCUGUCAGAAAGGCAUGGUGGUCCUCCGAGGCUUCGUAUAACAGGAAUCGAACUUCCUCAGCCGGGAUUUCGGCCUGCAGAAAGGGUCGAGGAGACCGGGCGGCGUUUGGCAAACUACUGCAAGAAGUUCAAGGUACCUUUUGAAUACAAUUGUCUUGCACAGAAAUGGGAAACUAUAAAACUUGCAGAUCUCAAGAUAGACAGGAAUGAAGUAACUGUUGUUAGCUGCUUCUACCGGCUGAAGAACUUGCCUGAUGAAACUGUGGAUGUGAAGUCUCCAAGAGAUGCCGUGUUGAAGUUGAUAAGGAGGAUCAAUCCAAACAUGUUCAUCCAUGGGGUGGUCAAUGGCACUUACAAUGCACCCUUUUUCCUGACUCGGUUUAGGGAGGCACUCUACCACUUCUCAUCACUGUUUGAUAUGUUUGAAGCUAAUGUGCCUCGUGAAGACCCGGAAAGAGUGAUGCUUGAGAAUGGGUUGUUUGGAAGAGAUGCCAUCAAUGUUAUAGCGUGUGAAGGGGCUGAGAGGGUUGAGAGACCUGAGACCUAUAAGCAGUGGCAGGUUAGGAACCAGAGAGCUGGGUUCAAGCAAGUCCGAUUUGAUCCUCAAUUGGUGAAUGAUGAAAAAGAAAUGGUGAAGAAGGAAUAUCAAAAAGAUUUUGUGGUGGCUGAGGAUGGCAAGUGGGUUUGGCUGGGGUGGAAAGGGCGUAUUCUGAAUGCCAUUUCUGCUUGGACUCCUGCUUAAGCAAUGUCCAGAAAGUGUCUUGUAACUAGUAAUCUACUCUUAGCACAAAUUUACUACUGAUGGUAAGGAAUGGCAGAAGCAAAAAUAAGAAAAAAGGGCACCACAAUGGAAGACUAGAUGUAGUAAAUCAUAGGAGCAAAUCAAACAGAAAAACAGCAGCUACAUCUGACUAAAAGUAGCUGACAAUACUCUCUCAAUUACGGAUUAGAAUUAGAUAGGGGCAUCUUCAAUAAUGUUCCACGUAUUGCAAUGUCUUCUGUGAGAAAUCAGUCAUUAGCCUUGACAAUCUGCACACCAUAAACAGUUUUAUUUUAUCAGCAAAUAAACUGCACAAUAAACAGUAAUGUCUGUUUUGCUUAUUUGUUGUAAUCAGAGAUUCCUUGUUAAGUUAAUUUAUCAUUGAUUCGAA